AAAGUAUUAUAUGGCAACUUGGUUAAGCAUUUACCUCAGUUUUGCAGGUGCUGUGGGAGCCACCUUUGGAAUUGGAUGAGCCUUUGAGGUACCAAAAAGUGAUGAUGGCCACAGUGUCUGACUCUGAAAUGAGUAGGUAAAGAAGAACCUGGCCACUGCAGGAACAUCCCAGUUAGCUGAUAUGUU